rnacentral:lncRNA from 1 species
UCGGAAAAAAUGACAUUCUGCAUUCAUUCAAACGUCAUUCAUACAUGUCUAGUUAGGAGCAUUUAAUUCUUUCUGAUCAUGACAUCCUAAUCACUAGGCAUAAUUAGGUUCAUAACUUGAAUUUUACAGGUCAUGUUCCCUAGAGAACCAAACUGAUAAAACUUCAGCCUUAUCUCCUUGAGCAGCAGUAGAGUAGAUUGAAAAUAGUAGAUUUUUAUUUCCUUAGCGUUGUAGCGGAGCAGAUUGAAGUCACAACGGCGGAUCUGGUUUCCCCGACAGCGCAAUUAAAAGAUUGAAGCCACAACGGCGGAUCUUACUUCCUUGGCGGUGCAGCGGAGCAGAUUGAAGUCACAACGGCGGAUCUAGUUUCCCCGACAGCGUAAUUAAAAGAUUGAAGCCACAACGGCGGAUCUUACUUCCCUAGCGGUGCAGCGGAGCAGAUUGAAGUCACAACGACGGAUCUGGUUUCCCCGACAGCGUAAUUAAAAAGAUUGAAGCCACAACGGCGGAUCUUACUUCCCUAGCGGUGCAGCAGAGCAGAUUGGAGUCACAACGACGGAUCUGGUUUCCUCGACAGUGCAAUUAAAAAGAUUGAAGCCACAACGGCAGAUCUUACUUCCCUAGCGGUGCAGCAGAACAGAUUGAAGUCACAACGACGGAUCUGGUUUCCUCGACAGUGCAAUUAAAAAGAUUGAAGCCACAACGGCAGAUUUUACUUCUCUGGCGGUGCAAUGGAGUAGAUUGAAGUCACAACGGCAGAUCUGGUUUCCUCGACAGUGCAAUUAAAAAGAUUGAAGCCACAACGGCGGAUCUUACCUCCUUAGUAGUGUAGUUGAACAGAUUGAAGCUACGACGGCGGAUCUUGUUUCCUCGACAUUGGAAUUGGAUAAAUUGAAUAAGAUAAUCCUAUCCCCCUGAAGAUGCAGUGGAGCGGAUUAACACCACGGAUAUUACCUUUCUAAAAUUGCAGUAAAGCAGAUAGUAUCAGACUCAUCUUUGAAGUUGCAGCAGAAUAAGUUAAAGUUACGAGUCUUAUCUCACUGAAGUUACGGUGGAGCAGACUAGAGAUUGCAAGUUUUGUUCUUUUGAGAAGCCACAAAGUACAAGUCCUAUCUCUUUGAUGUUGCAGUGGAGUGGAUUGAAGCACCGAUUCCUAUACCUCUGCAGACGCAGUAGAUUGGAAUGAGGCUAUUUGAAGAGCGCUAAGGUCCAGUAUGCCCGGGCAAAAUUGGCCAUCUUAAAGUCUUUGCUCUGUUCCCGUUACACGACAACGAGCAAAGAGGGGCAGCUGUAAUAGCCCAUUUUUGCCCGGCCCAUUCAAAAUAAGACCAACCCAAAAUCAUAACACUGCCCAAAUUAAAUACAAUUAAAUCCAAUAAAACUUAGGCUAAGCUUAACCCAAUUACAGGGCCCAAUUAACCCACUAGCCUAAAACACAAAACAGAGAAACCUAGCAGCAAAAUCAACAGCCGCGGUAACCUCACCCACGCCUCAACAUCGCCCCACGUUCAGCACUUUGCGCACGUCUUCCACGACUUUCAUACCUACGAAAAACUGAUCCAAACGGCAAUGGAUGAAAAAUAACAGAAUAGAUUUUUAUUUAUUGUUUUUUAUUAUUAUUUGGGGGGGAUAUAAAAAGGUGAUUUUAAUUUGUAAAAGGGGGUUAGCAAAAUUUUUAUACCGAAAUCAAAAAGAAAAUAGACGGAAAGAAACAUUUUUGAAGGUGGGAUCUUGUUUUCUUUCUCGGUUCUUUUACUGUUUUUUUUAAUUUACCUUGUUCUUUUCUUUUGCUUCUUUUUAAAAAAAAUAACAAAAAUAAACGAAGAGGGAGAGAAAGGGGGCUUACCUGGUGUCGCCGGAGCGUCGUCGGAGGCCAAGGGACGGCUUAGCGGCGGUGGAUCUUUGACGGUGGCGACGUGUGGGGAGGGUGCUAAGAAAAACCUAGCAGAGAACCCCCCUUUUCCUCUCUGUUCUUUAAAGAAAAUGGAAUAAAGAUGUUUUUAAAGGAAAUUUUUUUUCUUUUUUCCUUAUUUUUUUUAUAUUAACGAAAAGUGGUGCCGUUUAAUGGCCAUUGAUUGGUUUUUUAUUCAAAGGGUUUAUUUUCGAAACUGGUCCUUUC